UCAAACUUGAGAGUUUGAUCCUGGCUCAGAACGAACGCUGGCGGCAUGCCUAACACAUGCAAGUCGAACGAGACCUUCGGGUCUAGUGGCGC
rnacentral:rRNA from 1 species